rnacentral:sRNA from 1 species
CAAGGUACUAGUUCUAAUUAGUAUUUCAAAUAGUCGUUUUAAAGCCAUACUUGAGUAUUUGAUGAAGAGAUUUGGCCGUUUUCUCUCUGGUUCUAAUGUUUUUUCUCUUGUCUAUAUAGAAGUAAGUUAGCUCUCUGAACUUCUUCAAGGUUUGAGAAUUUCUAUAAUGUUGAGAAUAAAUUGAAACUGCAGUUUUAGUGGACAUAAGGACUUCUAUAAAAAGAAGUAAAGUAUAAUCAAGUAUAAUUUUAAAUGUUUCCUUGCAAAAAAAAAUCUAAACAAUGUUUUCACGUUUAGCUCUUUUAAGAGAAUUUUUUAAAAAAUGCUCUAACCAUUUAUCAUCUUCUCAAUUCCACAGAAAUAUCCAGAGAAGUUGUAUUUUGAGGGCCUCGCGGAACAGGUGGAUCCUCCCGUACAGAUCCAGUCUCCCUAUCUGCCCAUCUAUUUUGGGAAUGUGUGUCUUCGAUUCCUUCCAGUAUUUGAUAUAGUAAUCCACAGAUUUUUAGAGUUGCUUCCAGUAUCCAAAUCACUGGAGACUCUACUGGAUCACCUAGGAGGCUUAUAUAAAUUUCAUGAUCGUCCAGUGACUUAUCUGUAUAACACUCUGCACUAUUACGAAAUGCACCUGAGAGACCGCGCAUUUCUCAAACGAAAACUCGUCCAUGCGAUCAUUGGCUCUCUGAAGGAUAAUCGACCGCAGGGCUGGUGUCUAAGUGACACUUACCUGAAAUGCGCUAUGAAUGCACGAGAGGAAAAUCCUUGGGUUCCAGAUGACACCUACUAUUGCAGAUUGAUUGGCAGACUAGUCGAUACGAUGGCUGGCAAAUCUCCUGGUCCCUUUCCAAACUGUGACUGGAGAUUCAAUGAGUUUCCCAACCCAGCUGCCCAUGCUCUCCAUGUUACUUGUGUGGAGCUCAUGGCCUUGGCAGUUUCAGGCAAAGAAGUUGGGAAUGCCCUUCUAAAUGUUGUCCUAAAAAGGUAUGUAUUCUGGUUCAUGCAGUAAGAUUUGUUGUUUAUUUGUAAACAGAAUGGUAUUCUAUUUCAAACUUUUAAGACAAACCUGUUGCCGCAAGGCUGAUGCACAUUGGAUGAUGACUGUUUUCUGGUUCCAGAUCUUGUCUUUGUGAUAUAGGAGUUAUGGAAUGAGCCCUGGACAGGAUCCUAAGAUCCGGGUUUGUUCCUACUUCUACUCAUUAAUAGCAGUUUGACAUUUAAUAUAGGAAUAAUGUUAACUUGUCACUUAAAACAAGAUUCUCUUCAUCUUGUUUUCAAGAUUUCAAGAUUCUUUUAAAAAUUAGCAUGAAGUAUGGGAUAAUGAUUGGGGAGGAAGUAUUUUUAAAAAGCCUUCUUGAGUUUUUAUGCAUAUUACAUUUUUAUUCAAUAAAAAAUUCCCCAUUGUUUUAUUGAAAUGGAUUAGUUGUCGAUCCUCUGAAUUAGACAUAUUCUUUAAAAAUAAGAUCCGUUGUCAGCCAUCUAAAAUGUUUUUAUAAAUUCAUACUUACAUUCUUUUUUGCCGGUUGCAGUCAGCCUUUAGUGCCAAGAGAGAACAUUACAGCAUGGAUGAAUGCAAUUGGUUUGAUCAUCACUGCCCUACCAGAACCAUAUUGGAUUGUUCUUCAUGAUCGAAUUGUGAGUGUCAUCAGCAGCCCCAGCUUGACGUCUGAAACAGAGUGGGUUGGCUAUCCAUUCCGCCUCUUUGAUUUCACUGCCUGUCAUCAGUCCUACUCUGAGAUGAGUUGUAGCUAUACAUUAGCUCUUGCACAUGCCGUGUGGCACCAUUCUAGCAUUGGACAACUUUCUCUCAUUCCAAAGUUUCUUACUGAAGUACUUCUUCCUAUAGUGAAGACUGAAUUCCAGUUGCUUUAUGUAUACCAUCUUGUUGGACCAUUUUUACAAAGAUUUCAGCAAGAGAGAACUCGUUGUAUGAUAGAGAUUGGUGUGGCGUUUUAUGACAUGCUGCUGAAUGUUGACCAGUGUAGCACCCAUUUAAAUUACAUGGAUCCCAUCUGUGACUUCCUCUAUCACAUGAAGUAUAUGUUUACUGGUGACAGCGUGAAAGAGCAAGUAGAGAAGAUUAUCUGUAACUUAAAACCAGCUUUAAAACUUCGUCUUCGAUUCAUCACACACAUUAGCAAGAUGGAGCCAGCUGCAGUGCCUCCACAAGCCAUGAACAGUGGGUCUCCAGCACCUCAGUCUAAUCAGGUGCCCGUGUCUUUACCAGUAACUCAGUGAAGCCACACUGUACUGUGGAGAAAGUAGAAAUAUAUCCGUCUUUGAGAGUGGACUCAAACCUUUUAAAUCUGAAUGCGAUCACACUGUAGUGAUAUAGUAGAAGCAGUGAUGAUAUUCAGAUUGUUUUAUUUUGAUUCAAAUGAUGAAUCUGUUGACACCUUAUAACUCCCAUCUCCCUAUCUAUAUUUUUGUCUCUAAGAGAUCAAGUAAGAUACAUGUUGUUCAUAUUCAUAACAACUUAUUAGAGCUACGUAGGAACAUAGAGGUAUCUGUGAUCAAAUGACUUGUCAUUGGCACUUUCAGUCUUUCCUAUUCUAGCCGUUGUUUUUGUUUGUAUUUUUUAUUAUUAAUGACAUAUUUAGUCUUCAGAUAUAUUAUUUUAAAGGCACCACACAUGUAAAACAGUUAUUACAAAUAUUUUAUACAUAAAUCUCUUGGUAGAUUUUCAGAAUAAUAGAGAUUUAUAUCAAGAAAAGGAAUCUAGAUUUUGUUGCAUUGUAGGAGCAAACAAGGCUUCAUUCUUUUUAAAAUGACUUGAAAUUUUAUUAUAAAUUUCCAUAGUUUCUAUCAAGGUCAACUGGCAGUUUUAUUACCUUUGCUAUGGACUUGAACUUACGGUAUAAAAUUAGUUGGAAGCCAUGUAAGAAAAUAACAUCUGAAAAUUCUUGAACUUAAAAUCAUGCUUAAAUGGUUGAUUCUCCAAUUUCUUUUUUUAAAAAUAAGUUAAUUGCUUUUGCAGGUUGACACUCUCACCUGACAGAUGAUGUAAUUCUUCAAUUUUUAUAAUCUUAAAAUUUUUAAAUUUUAUAUUUGUAAAUACAGUACACAUUUUAUUUCUUGGAUUUUGAGAGACAUUGUUAAUUUUGGGGGAAUUGGCAUUGCGAAAGACUUGAAAACUAAUGAGUAAAGUCUGCUGAAUGAAUAAACCGUGUGAUUGUU